UACAGAGUGCAUGCUCAUGCAGUCUUAUGGCCAACUCAUGUUCCUAUUUCUUAAAGGGCUUUCUCACGGUGCGACCUGACGCAAGACUUAACAAGAGUUUAACAUUGUGGGAACUUCCUGCGAUAACAGUGCGGCAUUCGUGGACCACCGAGGACCUCUGUGGUGCUAACGGCAGAUAGUCGUGUAACUUGUUAAGGAUAUUGAUGAAGAGCAUCGACAGGAAACAGUUUACUCCAUUGAAGGAGGAUUGAACAAAGUACAUAUAUUUUAAGAACUCUCAUUACAUCAUUUUGAAUCAUUGCAUGCAGUUUGAAAAAGCACUUGCAUGUAUUUUACAAAUAAUCAAGGAAAAUAUAAAGAACUGAGCUUGUGUGAAAAAAAGCGAUUUUUGUCCAGCAAAAGAUUAUCCUUUGAACCAACAGUGUUGGUGAACACAGAGUCAGCGGCAAACCCUGAGCAGAGUUCUGGCAAAUGUGGUGGAGAGAGAAUACUGAGCAAACUCUCCACAAGAAAGGGAAGACAUCAUGAGGCUGCUCAUUGAAUACUUUUGGAACAAUCUGGCACAAACCUUGUUAAGAACAACAAGUCUGCACGGAUAUGGUUUGGCUGAGCGGAGCGACUUUGUGUAUGCGCAUGCAUCGAGGGAAGAUUGUUCCUGACAGGUCUGAGUGUACAGAUGUUGCAUUAGGACAGAACUGCAGUCAAUUAAAUAAAUAAUAGGGUGCAGCUAUUAAACUAAAUGGACAGUGAGGUGGCAUAAUUCACCCAAAGGAUGUUGGGUAUAUGGAAUGAGAUGUCAGAGGAAGUAGUUGAGGAAGGUUAGACGACAUUUGGCAGAGCCUAGAUUAGGUUGAGCAUCUUGGUUGGCAUGGACAAGUUGGGCCAAAAGGUCAGUUUCCAUGUUGUGUGAUUCUAUAAUUCUAAUUGACUUUAUAUUCUUGGGUGUGCCAUGCUAGAGCUAAGCUGGCAUUACAUUUGUCUUAAGUCUUGAAACCAUUAAAAUAAAUGACGGGCUUGUGUUUUCUCUUGUGUUUGUUCUGACCUAUCAUAUGAAUUUCUCCAAUCGUUAUAACUUUUCUCUUGUUCUGUUCUUGCUCUGACCACAGGCAUGCUAGAAAUAAAAUGAAUCACCAAGAUGGGUGGUGAUCAGCUAAGAUAUUUGUAAAUUGUGUAUUCUACUCUAUAUGUGUACAGAUUAUAUUUGUAUAUAUCUCAUUUAAAUGACUCUCCCCUCUUCCAAUGAAUGAUUCACAUAUUUACCUUAGGUGCAGUUCCUACUCCUCUUGAGGUUUCACAAGGCCCUGAUCUUCUACAAACUAAUGUCAUCAGCAACAAAUCCCCUUAUUGUAGAGAAUGUCACUUUUUUACUCAUUUCAGUAGAAUUUUAUUCGACAGUUCUAACUUUUGGAAUAUAUUCUCAUAUCACUUUGAUAUCCCCUUUUAGGUCUCAGGUAGGAAUUAAAUCUUAGAAAUACACUCAAUAAUCCUGCCUUUUAUUUUCAUAAGGUACCUCUUUAUAUUACAUACUAGACUAAGUGGGACCCGUUGGGUCCCUUGUUCACACGGGAGAGCUGGUCCCCCGACGCAAUAUUCCACCUCUCCACCAAUUCCAAUAUUGGUGGCCAGUGGGGGGGCUUUCUGGAGUGCUGGUAUGGGUUCUUGGGGUGGCAGUUCAGUCCCUCAAGCCUGAUCUGCUGGCAGCUCACUUACGGCUGGUGGGCUGGCAGUUGACUCAUGACUAUUCCUUGAAAUUCCAUUUCAAGCAGGGUGCAAGGCCACCAAAUUCAAAUCCAUGUUCCUACCAUUCCAAGCAGGGUGCAAGGCCACCAAAUUCAAGUGCAGUUUCUUACCACCAUGAGCAGGGUGCAAGGCCACCGAAUUCAAGUGCAGUUUCCAACCACUUCAAGCUGGGUGCAAGGCCACCGAAUUCAAGUGCAGUUUCAUACCACUUCAAGCUGGAUCCAAGGCCACCAAAUUCAAGUGCAGUUUCAUACCACUUCAAGCAGGGAUCCAAGGCCACCAAAUUCAAGUGCAGUUUCAUUCCACUUUUUACUUACUUUUACUUAAUUAAUUUAUUGAACAUGUGAAAAAAUACAAACACAAAUAAACUUGUAAGCAACAAAAAAAAGAAAAUAAAACACAAAGGAAAACAAACAAAUAAGUAACUCAAAUAAUACAAAUAAUAUCGUUCAUGUUCAAAAGGGGUAAGAGGAAGUUCGAAAACUUUUCUGGUCCUACCCCCUCUUAUUUUCUAUAUAUUUUCAUGGAAAAACAAAAUAAUGGGAACAAAUGGACCCAAAACCUGUUGAACAGUCCACAAACAAGAAAUAACCAAACAGAAAAGAAAAUCACUGGUCCAGCUCAUAACCAUUCAAUCUUUUGUUUCUGAAGAGUGUUUUUAGUUUGAAUAGAGUCUUACAUUUUUUCAGCUCAUCAUGGCAGUUAUUCCAGAGACUAACACCCUUUGCUGUAACACAAUGGAGUUUUGCAUUAGUUCUUAUUGCCGUUUUUUGAAUAUAUAGGUUCCUCUCAGGUUGUGUUUGCUUUCUCUCCGUUGGAACAACCCCUGGAUAUUACAAGGCAAUUGCUGAUUAGCUGCUUUGAACAUAAUUUGGAUAGUUUUAUAAUCUGUCAGAUCUUGAAAUUUUAAUGUUUUUAGUCUGAUAAAUAAUGGUUUUGUUGAUUGUCUGUAGGUGGUUUUAUGUAUAAUUCGUAUUGCUCUUUUUUGGAGGAUGAAGAUUGGAUGUGUAUUUGUUUUGUAUGUGUUCCCCCAUACCUCCACACAGUAGAUCAUGUAUGGGAGUAUGAGGGACAGUACAACAUAUACAGGGAGGCUUGAUUUAGUAGGUCUCUGGCUUUAUUCAGUAUUGCAAUUGAUUUGGAUAUUUUGGCUUUAAUAUAAUUUAUGUGAGGUUUCCAAGUUAAUUUGUUGUCAAUUAAUACUCCAAGAAAUUUUAUUUCAGAUACUCUUUCUAUUUCUGUGCCAUUUAUCAUGAGCUUUUUCUCUGUCUUGGUUGAUCGAUUUCCAAAUAUUAUGAAUUUUGUUUUACUUAAAUUCAAUGUGAGUUUAUUUUCGUCAAACCAGAUCUUCAUCCUGCUCAAUUCCUUUUCCAUACUAUCCAGGAGCUGUUCCAAGUUGUCUCCACAUCAGAGUAAGUUAGUAUCAUCAGCGAAGAGAAUAGUUUCAAAAGUUUCUGACACUUCACAUAUAUUAUUGAUAUAUAAUAUGAAUAAUAAUGGCCCUAACACUGAGCCGUGGGGCACCCCACACGUAACCUGUAGUAAUUGUGAUUUAUGGUUUUGUAUUUCGACAUAUUGUUCCCGGUUCUGUAGGUAGCUGGAUAGCCAUGAUAGUGCGAUGCCUCUAAUGCCAUAUCUUUGUCGUUUCUUUAUUAAUAACUCGUGGUCUACGGUCAAAUGCUUUUUUUAAGUCCAAAAAAAUCCCUACUGCAUACUCUUUAUUUUCUAUUGCCUUAGUAAUUUUUUCUAUAAAUUCAAUAAUUGGAAAUGAAGUUGUUCUGUUAGCUCUAAAACCAUAUUGUUGUUCGUACAGUGUUAUGUUUGGUGAUAAAUUCGUCCAGUCUUGUGUAAAAUAUUUUUUCCAGUAUUUUGGAGAACUGUGGAAGCAAUGAAAUGGGUCUGUAAUUUGAAAGUACAUGUUUGCCUCCAGUUUUAUAUAUUGGUAUGACUUUAGCUGUUUUCAUUUUGUUGGGAAAUACACCGGUUUGAAAGGACGGAUUACAAAUGUGAGUCAGAGGUCUUGCUAUGCAUUCUAUAAUGUUUUUAACUGUAAACAUGUCAAUAUCAUGACAGUCUGUGGAUUUCUUACUCUUGAGUUUUUUUACAGUGUCAAUAAUUUCUUUUUCUUCAGUCCCUCUUAUAAAUAUUGUAUCCUUUACAUAUAUCUCUUUACUUUCUACACCAUCGCUGCUACCAGUCUUUGCAAUUUUUCCGGCCAAAUCAGGACCAACAUCAACAAAGAAUUUGUUGGAUUCAUUUGCAGCUGAGGCCAUAUCAGUGAUUAUUGUGUUGUUUUUAAACAGGAAAUUGUUUAGGUAUUGUGCCUUUCCAUUUCCUUUUUUAAUUAUGGCAUUUAAUACAUUCCAUGUAUUUUUAAUAUUGUUUUUGUUGUUCUCCAGUAACUUACUAUAGUGAUCGAUUUUGCUGCAUCUCAUGAUUUUUGUUAGUUUGUUUUUAUAUGUCUUAUAUUUUUCUUCAGCUUCUGCUGUUCUUU